UUUUCGGUCUAUGAGGGUACGUGGACACACUCUCCCCUCUCAUUGCUAUGCAGCACCUAGAUGGAUCUUGUGUGUGCGUAGGCAAAUUUUUUGAAAUACUACAUUCCCAACAAUGGCAUCCGAGCCAGGUCUAUGAAUAGAUGUUAUAUGCACGAUGUGGCACCCCGAUCCGCAUGGAGCAGGGGGGCCUUCGCAUGUCAGCCCAGGAUAACACCUGACGCACGACAGGUCCAUGAUACAGCAUUCCAGGUACAAGAUUAUUCAUCAAACCCAUGUGUAUAUGAUUACAUCAUUGAUGAAUACAAUUAUCAUGCAUAGCCCUAAGGCUAUUUAAAUGGCGGUGAAAGUCCAUUUAAAUGGUGGCCGAAGUCUUGGUUUUACAGCAUAACAACUCUGGCUGGGCUCCACAACUCACAAGACUGGCAAGAUUACGGCUUAGCACGACGGAACAAGCGAAUAACCUAGGAACGACCUACAAAAUUUGCAUGACACGCCGGGUCGGUACAUUGAAUGUACUUGCAAGACAACCAAAUACAUAGCAUCCAAACAAAUAGAUGAUAAAGCAGGAACCAAGCAUAUGCAACAAUCUAAUCCAACACUACUUCUAAGCAUGGCAUAAUAUUAACAAGAAUCAUAAAUAAAACUAAGCAUGAACAACAUCAUAGCAUCUACUAGCAUGGCAUAUCAAACUUACUUCUAACAUAACAACAGCAAAGCAUAGCAUAUCAAAACAUGGCAUGGCAUCAUGAAAGUAUGCUGAAAAUAAACUAUCAGUUACCUCCCGAGAAGACAUAUUGUAUUAACCUCAUGUAACAAUCACUUACUCUGCCACGUCUCCUCGAAGCGAACUCAUGACUUACCGAGACCUCGUCUCAUGGUCGUAUCAACACAUCAUCAUGACCUCUCACGAUUUUCUCAUAGUCCAAGUCACCACAUUGUUUAUCACAUCUUAGUUAUCACAAUGGUUAUUAGCAGAUUUAUCCUCCACUUCGACCAAGACCCAAUAGUGUGACCUACUACGAACUGUGCCCAUGACCGAGGACGCGGCUAUCGAUAGAUUAGGCACACACACUCUGCAGAGGUAGCGCACUUUACCCACACCACAUAACCCAUGGCCUCGCACUCCCAUUCGGGUGGAACAACGAUGUUCCGACAAAACCGACCUACUGCCAUGACACUCUCCCGGCCACUCUGACUAACUCCCCUUUGGGCUAAGUCAUGGGUGGCCCGUGCCUACCAAAGGCACCAAUGGCCACCGUCGUGGCAAAACAAAAAUGGUCCCAAACGGGGACAUGUGCACAUAACGAAACUCGGGCUCACAAGGCUUAUGUCCGCCUACCUGACCAGGGUAGCGCGCGCCCAUAACCUUCCCUAGUUGGAGGCACCGGCGAGAGGCAUGAAAGUAGAUCCAGCUAGGACCUCCCAUAAAGGUAAAUGUGGUUGCAUUGGAGAAAGCUCGAUUUGGUGGCACUAUGACUCGAUCCCAUCGAUGACGGAGGAGGUUUAUUAUUAAGUCAUGUUAUUAACUUCUACACCAUCAUUAACAUUAUGAGCAUAUUUAAUAAGGAUACAACAAUGAGCAUGCAGCAAACACAUGCACAAACAAAUAUGAGGCUUUUCGAGUGAGCAGGUAUAGCAUAUGAAACAUGACAAUACCGGGUACUAGCUUAUCGACGGUGUAACCAAAAUCAUCAUAGCACCGAUACUACUGUCAUGAAACUAACCAAACACAAGUAUGAUAUUAACAACAAUAUAACUAGCAUGGCAAGUGCUAUCAUGAAAGGCAAGCAUGACGUGGCAAGCAGUGCUAACAUAAAGCACAACUGAAAACAUGGCAGACGAAACAGACGAGGACUACUGUAACUAAGCACACACACGAGGUACCAGCAAAGUCAACAUGCAAGUUCGGGGCUCAUGAUAAGAGGUUGGCACGCCUGGGGUCGACAAAUACUAGAGGAAGAAAUGAGAAACGGUCGCGGAAAAAUUUGCCGGAAACAGUUCUCUCUCGGAGGGGGCUGUUUACGGGCAAGGGCAAAAUGGUCAUUUUCACUAUGCAAAAACAUUAUGAAAAUGGUACCAAUGGAAAGAGAUCAACGAACAGAUAACGUGAGCGCUGAAAUCACCUUAAUCGGAGUCACGGUUGAAAAGUUGUAGUCAUUUGAAGUCCGGGGACCAAUUUGUAAAGAUUGUAUUCGCAAACAGGCCCCUAGCGGCUGGACUGGAAGCACCUUAGGGGAGAUUACGUUUUCUUUAAAAGAAGGCGUACUUUCAGCCGAAGUAGAAAGGUAAUACGCCUUCAGACAAGAAACAUGUAUUGUGCGCAGAGCCCGCAGUUAUUUACGCCUUCACUAACUGAAAACGUAAACACUGGAAACACGUUUCCACUUAUCCCGUGUGACAGUGGGUCCGGGGCGAUGUGCGGCUGACGAGUGGGGUCGGCAAGAGGUGCGGGGCCCACCUGGCCUUCAUCUUCUUCCUCCUUCCUCUGUUCCGAUCGAGAGAGAGAAGGAGCGUGGCACCAGCGACAAGCUUGGUGGCUCCGGCCACCUCCAGCCCAGGGGAAACGCUGACGGGCUCAGGGAGGAGCACUGCAUCCACAUGACGCCUUAGCAGCACCUGGGAGUGGAUGGGAUGUGGGCGGCGCGCGGGGACAGAGAACUCUUGGCGACGUCCUGACUAAAGGACUCGCGGCCACGAGCACUCCGGCGCCGAACUGAGGAGUGUAGGAGGGGUGCAGGACUACGAGGAGUCUCCUGGUGGUGGAAGAACAGAGGGAGGGGCGCGACAUCGUCAGAAUCGAGCAGGACCCGAGGCGGCGGCCAUGGCGAUGGUGGGGGUCAGGGAGAGCUUCUCCGGGUCGCUGGAGUGGUUAGGGAGGGUUGUGGACUGCGAGGAAGCUCAGGGGCAUGCUUAAAUAGCCGCGGGGAAGACUCGACAAGAGAGGGGGAGGUGGCACGCAGCAGGCGACGUGUCCGUGCGUCAGCGAUGGGCGCAGUGUCGGCAAGCGGGACCAAAGCUCGCGAGAAGCGGCGGGAAGGCGACGAGAAGGACGUGGACGAGCGCCAGGGGGGUCAUGGAGUUGAG
rnacentral:lncRNA from 1 species